GUUGAACGCUGGCGGCAUGCUUUACACAUGCAAGUCGAACGGUAACAGGCCUUCGGGUGCUGACGAGUGGCGAACGGGUGAGUAAUGCAUCGGAACGUGCCCAGAGGUGGGGGAUAACGCAGCGAAAGCUGUGCUAAUACCGCAUGUGAUCUGAGGAUGAAAGCGGGGGACCAAGCAGCAAUGUUUGGCCUCGCGCCUCUGGAGCGGCCGAUGUCAGAUUAGGUAGUUGGUGGGGUAAAGGCCUACCAAGCCGACGAUCUGUAGCUGGUCUGAGAGGACGACCAGCCACACUGGGACUGAGACACGGCCCAGACUCCUACGGGAGGCAGCAGUGGGGAAUUUUGGACAAUGGGCGCAAGCCUGAUCCAGCAAUGCCGCGUGCGGGAAGAAGGCCUUCGGGUUGUAAACCGCUUUUGUACGGAACGAAAAGGCUCUGGCUAAUACCUGGGGCUGAUGACGGUACCGUAAGAAUAAGCACCGGCUAACUACGUG
rnacentral:rRNA from 1 species